UGCAAAUAUUCCACCCCCUCUCCUGAGUUUGAGAGUUCUGUGAAUAUAAACAGGUUGCUCAAGCUCAGCUCAUCUCAAACCAUGUUUUGCUCAUAUCUGUUUUUGCUGCUGCUAGCAGCACUAUCUUGUGUCCACUGUGUUGAACUGACACAGCCUGCUUCCAGUGUUUUAAGGCCUGGUCAGGCUUUAACACUGUCCUGUAAAGUUUCUGGAUAUUUAGUGACUGACAGCAGCUACUGUACUGGAUUCAUACGACAGGCUGCAGGAAAAGCUCUGGAGUGGAUCGGACAUAUUUGUGGUAGCGGUAGCACAUACUAUAGUGAUAAACUGAAGAGUAGAUUUCAAGUUACCAGAGACUCUUCCAGCAGCACAGUGACUUUACAAGGACAGAAUAUGCAGACCGAGGACACAGCUGUGUAUUACUGUGCACGAGAAUACACAGUGAUAGAAACCACAAGCACUUCUGUUCAAAAACAUCUUGAAAGAAAAGCACAACAGAAAAAUACAUGUUGUAUCUAA